rnacentral:rRNA from 1 species
UGGGGAUUUUGGACAAUGGGCGAAAGCCUGAUCCAGCAAUGCCGCGUGCAGGAUGAAGGCCUUAGGGUUGUAAACUGCUUUUGUACGGAACGAAACGGUUCGNCAUAAUACGGUGGGCUAAUGACGGUACCGUAAGAAUAAGCACCGGCUAACUACGUGCCAGCAGCCGCGGUAAUACGUAGGGUGCGAGCGUUAAUCGGAAUUACUGGGCGUAAAGCGUGCGCAGGCGGUUAUAUAAGACAGAUGUGAAAUCCCCGGGCUCAACCUGGGACCUGCAUUUGUGACUGUAUAGCUAGAGUACGGUAGAGGGGGAUGGAAUUCCGCGUGUAGCAGUGAAAUGCGUAGAUAUGCGGAGGAACACCGAUGGCGAAGGCAAUCCCCUGGACCUGUACUGACGCUCAUGCACGAAAGCGUGGGGAGCAAACAGGAUUAGAUACCCUGGUAGUCCACGCCCUAAACGAUGUCAACUGGUUGUUGGGUCUUCACUGACUCAGUAACGAAGCUAACGCGUGAAGUUGACCGCCUGGGGAGUACGGCCGCAAGGUUG